rnacentral:rRNA from 1 species
CACGUAGGUGGGUCGCUUAGUCGGGGGUGAAAUCCUGGAGCUCAACUCCAGAACUGCCUUUGAUACUGAGGAUCUUGAGUACGGGAGAGGUGAGUGGAACUGCGAGUGUAGAGGUGAAAUUCGUAGAUAUUCGCAAGAACACCAGUGGCGAAGGCGGCUCACUGGCCCGUUACUGACGCUGAGGCACGAAAGCGUGGGGGAGCAAACA